GGUUAAUGAUGAGUCAACUUCAGGUCCGUGUUUUUGAAACUAAUUCAUUACC
rnacentral:snoRNA from 1 species